UACAGAGGGUGCAAGCGUUGUUCGGAAUUAUUGGGCGUAAAGCGCGUGUAGGCGGCUUUGCAAGUCGGGUGUGAAAGCCCUCAGCUCAACUGAGGAAGUGCGCCCGAAACUGCAGAGCUUGAGUGCCGGAGAGGGUGGCGGAAUUCCCCAAGUAGAGGUGAAAUUCGUAGAUAUGGGGAGGAACACCGGUGGCGAAGGCGGCCACCUGGACGGUAA
rnacentral:rRNA from 1 species